AGAGAGUUAGUCCAAAGUAAGACCCCUGAUUUCGGCUCAGAAGACCGUGGUUAAAAUCCACGACUCCCUU
rnacentral:tRNA from 1 species